CCUACGGGUGGCAGCAGUGAGGAAUAUUGGUCAAUGGACGGAAGUCUGAACCAGCCAUGCCGCGUGCAGGAAGACUGCUCUAUGAGUUGUAAACUUCUUUUGUACAAGGGUAAACCUGGGUACGUGUAUUCUUCUGCAAGUACUUUACGAAUAAGGAUCGGCUAACUCCGUGCCAGCAGCCGCGGUAAUACGGAGGAUCCAAGCGUUAUCCGGAUUUAUUGGGUUUAAAGGGUGCGUAGGUGGAUUGAUAAGUUAGAGGUGAAAUGUUCGGGCUUAACUCGGGAACUGCCUCUAAUACUGUUGAUCUAGAGAGUAGAUGAGGUAGGCGGAAUGUAUGGUGUAGCGGUGAAAUGCUUAGAGAUCAUGCAGAACACCGAUUGCGAAGGCAGCUUACCAAUCUAUAUCUGACGUUGAGGCACGAAAGCGUGGGGAGCAAACAGGAUUAGAUACCCGAGUAGUC
rnacentral:rRNA from 1 species